rnacentral:rRNA from 1 species
GGUUGAUCCUGCCGGAGGCCAUUGCUAUCGGAGUCCGAUUUAGCCAUGCUAGUUGCACGAGUUUAGACUCGUAGCAUAUAGCUCAGUAACACGUGGCCAAACUACCCUACAGACCGCGAUAACCUCGGGAAACUGAGGCCAAUAGCGGAUAUCACUCUCAGACUGGAGUGUCGAGAGCGAGAAACGUUCCGGCGCUGUAGGAUGUGGCUGCGGCCGAUUAGGUAGAUGGUGGGGUAACGGCCCACCAUGCCGAUAAUCGGUACAGGUUGUGAGAGCAAGAGCCUGGAGACGGUAUCUGAGACAAGAUACCGGGCCCUACGGGGCGCAGCGGGCGCGAAACCUUUACACUGCACGACAGUGCGAUAGGGGGACUCCGAGUGUGAGGGCAUAUAGCCCUCGCUUUUCUGAACCGUAAGGUGGUUCAGGAACAAAGACUGGGCAAGACCGGUGCCAGCCGCCGCGGUAAUACCGGCAGUCCAAGUGAUGGCCGAUAUUAUUGGGCCUAAAGCGUCCGUAGCCUGCUGUGUAAGUCCAUUGGGAAAUCGACCAGCUCAACUGGUCGGCGUCCGGUGGAAACUACACAGCUUGGGGCCGAGAGACUCAACGGGUACGUCCGGGGUAGGAGUGAAAUCCUGUAAUCCUGGACGGACCACCAAUGGGGAAACCACGUUGAGAGACCGGACCCGACAGUGAGGGACGAAAGCCAGGGUCUCGAACCGGAUUAGAUACCCGGGUAGUCCUGGCUGUAAACAAUGCUCGCUAGGUAUGUCACGCGCCAUGAGCACGUGAUGUGCCGUAGUGAAGACGAUAAGCGAGCCGCCUGGGAAGUACGUCCGCAAGGAUGAAACUUAAAGGAAUUGGCGGGGGAGCACCACAACCGGAGGAGCCUGCGGUUUAAUUGGACUCAACGCCGGACAUCUCACCGGUCCCGACAGUAGUAAUGACAGUCAGGUUGA